rnacentral:rRNA from 1 species
UACGAAGGGGGCUAGCGUUGCUCGGAAUUACUGGGCGUAAAGCGCGCGUAGGCGGAUCGUUAAGUCGGGGGUGAAAUCCUGGAGCUCAACUCCAGAACUGCCUUUGAUACUGGCGAUCUUGAGUCCGGGAGAGGUGAGUGGAACUCCGAGUGUAGAGGUGAAAUUCGUAGAUAUUUGGAAGAACACCAGUGGCGAAAGCGACUUCCUGGACCAGUACCGACGUUCAGGCACGAAAGCGUGGGGAGCAAACAGG